rnacentral:rRNA from 1 species
ACGCUGACUACUUUAGCUUGCUAGAGUAGAAGGAGUUGCGAACGGGUGAGUAACGCGUAGGUAACCUGCCUACUAGCGGGGGAUAACUAUUGGAAACGAUAGCUAAUACCGCAUAACAGUGUUUAACACAUGUUAGAUGCUUGAAAGAUGCAAUUGCAUCACUAGUAGAUGGACCUGCGUUGUAUUAGCUAGUUGGUGGGGUAACGGCCCACCAAGGCGACGAUACAUAGCCGACCUGAGAGGGUGAUCGGCCACACUGGGACUGAGACACGGCCCAGACUCCUACGGGAGGCAGCAGUAGGGAAUCUUCGGCAAUGGGGGCAACCCUGACCGAGCAACGCCGCGUGAGUGAAGAAGGUUUUCGGAUCGUAAAGCUCUGUUGUAAGAGAAGAACGUGUGUGAGAGUGGAAAGUUCACACAGUGACGGUAACUUACCAGAAAGGGACGGCUAACUACGUGCCAGCAGCCGCGGUAAUACGUAGGUCCCGAGCGUUGUCCGGAUUUAUUGGGCGUAAAGCGAGCGCAGGCGGUUUAAUAAGUCUGAAGUUAAAGGCAGUGGCUUAACCAUUGUUCGCUUUGGAAACUGUUAAACUUGAGUGCAGAAGGGGAGAGUGGAAUUCCAUGUGUAGCGGUGAAAUGCGUAGAUAUAUGGAGGA